rnacentral:rRNA from 1 species
GAUGAACGCUGGCGGCGUGCCUAUACAUGCCAGGUGAGCGGACAGAACGGGGACUUUCCUCCUCUGCCUUUGGCGGGGGACGGUGGGUUAAAAGGGGGUAACCUUACCUUAAGGACUGGGAAAACUUCGGAAACCGGGGCCUAUUACCGGAUAAAUAUUUAACCCGAAGGGUUCAUUGGUAAAGGCGGGUUUUGUGUUCCUUAUAGGUGGGACCGCGCCGCAUUUGCUAGUUGGUAAGGUAACGGCUUACCAAGGCGACGAUGCGUAGCCGACCUGAGAGGGUGAUCGGCCACACUGGAACUGAGACACGGUCCAGACUCCUACGGGAGGCAGCAGUAGGGAAUCUUCCGCAAUGGGCGAAAGCCUGACGGAGCAACGCCGCGUGAGUGAUGAAGGUCUUCGGAUCGUAAAACUCUGUUAUUAGGGAAGAACAAAUGUGUAAGUAACUAUGCACGUCUUGACGGUACCUAAUCAGAAAGCCACGGCUAACUACGUG